rnacentral:rRNA from 1 species
GGUGCCAGCAGCCGCGGUAAUUCCAGCUCCAAUAGCGUAUAUUAAAGUUGUUGCGGUUAAAAAGCUCGUAGUUGAAUCUGUGUCCCACACUGUCGGUUCACCGCUCGCGGUGUCCAACUGGCAUGUCUGUGGGACGUCCUACCGGUGGGCGCAGCCCGUCAAAAGGCGGCCCAACUCAAAAUCCUACCACGGUGCUCUUCACCGAGUGUCGAGGUGGGCCGGUACGUUUACUUUGAACAAAUUAGAGUGCUUAAAGCAGGCUCAUUCGCCUGAAUAUUCUGUGCAUGGAAUAAUGGAAUAGGACCUCGGUUCUAUUUUGUUGGUUUUCGGAACUCCGAGGUAAUGAUUAAUAGGGACAACUGGGGGCAUUCGUAUUGCGACGUUAGAGGUGAAAUUCUUGGAUCGUCGCAAGACGGACAGAAGCGAAAGAAAUGUGUUUUCAUCAAUCAAGAACGAAAGUUAGAGGUUCGAAGGCGAUCAGAUACCGCCCUAGUUCUAACCAUAAACGAUGCCAGCUAGCGAUCCGCCGAAGUUCCUCCGAUGACUCGGCGGGCAGCUUCCGGGAAACCAAAGCUUUUGGGUUCCGGGGGAAGUAUGGUUGCAAAGCUGAAACUUAAAGGAAUUGACGGAAGGACACCACCAGGAGUGG